rnacentral:rRNA from 1 species
GAGCAACGCCGCGUGAGGGACGAAGGCCUCUGGGCUGUAAACCUCUUUUCUCAAGGAAGAAGACAUGACGGUACUUGAGGAAUAAGCCACGGCUAAUUCCGUGCCAGCAGCCGCGGUAAUACGGGAGUGGCAAGCGUUAUCCGGAAUUAUUGGGCGUAAAGCGUCCGCAGGCGGCCUUGAAAGUCUGUUGUUAAAGCGUGGAGCUCAACUCCAUUUAAGCAAUGGAAACUACAAGGCUAGAGUGUGGUAGGGGCAGAGGGAAUUCCCGGUGUAGCGGUGAAAUGCGUAGAUAUCGGGAAGAACACCAGUGGCGAAGGCGCUCUGCUGGGCCAUAACUGACGCUCAUGGACGAAAGCCAGGGGAGCGAAAGGGAUUAGAUACCCCUGUAGUCCUGGCCGUAAACGAUGAACACUAGGUGUCGGGAGAAUUAACCCUUCCGGUGUCGUAGCCAACGCGUUAAGUGUUCCGCCUGGGGAGUACGCACGCAAGUGUGAAACUCAAAGGAAUUGACGGGGGCCCGCACAAGCGGUGGAGUAUGUGGUUUAAUUCGAUGCAACGCGAAGAACCUUACAGGGUUUGACAUACUGCGAAUCCCUUGGAAACGAGGGAGUGCCUUCGGGAACGCAGUGACAGGUGGUGCAUGGCUGUCGUCAGCUCGUGUCGUGAGAUGUUGGGUUAAGUCCCGCAACGAGCGCAACCCACGUCUUUAGUUGCCAGCAUUCAGUUGGGCACUCUAGAGAGACCGCCGGUGAUAAACCGGAGGAAGGUGUGGAUGACGUCAAGUCAUCAUGCCCCUUACAUCCUGGGCUACACACGUACUACAAUGCUACGGACAAAGGGCAGCAAACUCGCGAGAGCUAGCAAAUCCCAUAAACCGUGGCUCAGUUCAGAUCGUAGGCUGCAACUCGCCUACGUGAAGGAGGAAUCGCUAGUAAUCGCAGGUCAGCAUACUGCGGUGAAUACGUUCCCGGGCCUUGUACACACCGCCCGUCACACCAUGGAAGUUGGCCACGCCCGAAGUCGUUACUCCAACCCGCAAGGGAGGAGGACGCCGAAGGUGGGGCUGAUGACUGGGGUGAAGUCGUAACAAGGUAGCCGUACCGGAAGGUG